rnacentral:lncRNA from 1 species
GUUUUUUUCAUAAUUUAAUCCAAAUUUUCACCCUAUUUUGCUGAAAAUAUGGCAAUCUCUAUUCGAAAUUUAUAUAAAAAAUUCGAUCAGAACGCAGGAAAUCGCAUUUCCGAGGUUCUAGAUUUCCAAAUUUUGCAAAGACAUGAGGAAUUAUGCAUCUCUCAGCUAAAACCAUGGAUCCGGCCAUGUUGUAAAGGCCUAAGAACAUAUUUAUUAUCCAAAUAUGUAGUAGAUAAACCAUAAUAAGUAGACAAUAACUGUAAAUAUAAACAUAAUUAUUUUAACUUAUGCUUUUUAGAUAACAUAGAGAUAAACUUUACUUUGUAAUCUAUAGCAGUUGAAGACAUGGGCUAACCGGGCGGGGGGGGGGCAGUUUGUUGGGCAAACAGUCGGGCAAUAUUGGCUUAUUAUAAAAAUAAAUGGGACAAAUUCUGUGAAUUUUGUGGGAAAUUCUGUCAAUCUUGUAGGAAAUAUGCUAUGUAAUAGGAAUUCCCCCCCCCCCGACAACAGUUUUGGAAAGUUUCUCUGAAAAUUUUCUUUUGACAACUCGGACACAAUCCAAAAAAAUAGGGCAAAUCUCUUUCCGCCCCAUAAUUUUUCAAUUCCCGUACGCCCAUGGUUGAAGAGCCACUCUGUGGAUACACUGUUAUUAAAUCAUUAUUAUAUGGAAUUCUUCAGGGGUAAAGUGUUUUGAGUUUGGAAUUCUUCAGGGGUGAAGUGUUUUGAGUUUGGAAUUCUUCAGGGGUAGAGUGUUUUGAGUUUGGAAUUCUUUAGGGGUAAAGUGUUUUGAGUUUGGAAUUCUUCAGGGGUAGGGUGUUUUGAGCUUGGAAUUCUUCAGGGGUAGUGUGUUUUGAGCUUGAAAUUCUUCAGGGGUAGGGUGUUUUGAGUUUGGAAUUCUUCAGGGGUAAAGGAUUUUGAGUUUGGAAUUCUUCAGGGGUAAAGUGUUUUGAGUUUGGAAUUCUUCAGGGGUAGAGUGUUUUGAGUUUGGAAUUCUUCAGGGGUAAAGGGUUUUGAGCUUGGAAUUCUUCAGGGGUAAAGUGUUUUGAGUUUGGAAUUCUUCAGGGGUAGAGUGUUUUGAGUUUGGAAUUCUUCAUGGGUAGAGUGUUUUGAGUUUGGAAUUCUUCAGGGGUAAAGGAUUUUGAGCUUGGAAUUCUUCAGGGGUAAAGUGUUUUGAGUUUGGAAUUCUUCAGAAGUAGGGUGUUUUGAGUUUGGAAUUCUUCAGGGGUAGAGUGUUUUGAGCUUGGAAUUCUUCGGGGGUAGGGUGUUUUGAGUUUGGAAUUCUUCAGGGGUAGAGUGUUUUGAGCUUGGAAUUCUUCAGGGGUAAAGAGGUUUGAGAUCGAAAUUUUUCAGAGUUUGGAAUUCUUCAGGGGUAAAGUGUUUUGAGCUUGGAAUUCGUCAGGGGUACAGUGUUUUGAGCUUGGAAUUCUUCAGGGGUAGGGUGUUUUGAGUUUGGAAUUCUUCAGGGGUAGAGUGUUUUGAGCUUGGAAUUCUUCAGGGGUAAAGAGGUUUGAGAUCGAAAUUUUUCAGAGGUUGGAAUUCUUCAGGGGUAAAGUGUUUUGAGUUUGGAAUUCUUCAGGGGUAGAGUGUUUUGAGCUUGGAAUUCUUCAGGGGUAAAGGAUUUUGAGCUUGGAAUUCUUCAGGGGUAUAACUAUGAAAAACAUGUAUCCUCGACAGGGGGGGUACGGAUAUUAAAUGGAAUAGCCCAUUUUUG